UACGUAGGGUGCAAGCGUUGUCCGGAAUUAUUGGGCGUAAAGGGCUCGUAGGCGGCCCACUAAGUCCGACGUGAAAUCCCCAGGCUUAACUUGGGAACUGCGUCGGAUACUGGUGGGCUUGAAUCCGGGAGAGGGAUGCGGAAUUCCAGGUGUAGCGGUGAAAUGCGUAGAUAUCUGGAGGAACACCGGUGGCGAAGGCGGCAUCCUGGACCGGCAUUGACGCUGAGUGAGCGAAAGCCAGGGGAGCAAACGGG
rnacentral:rRNA from 1 species